rnacentral:rRNA from 1 species
AUUGAACGCUGGCGACAGGCCUAACACAUGCAAGUCGAACGAGUGGCGGACGGGUGAGUAAUGUCUGGGAAACUGCCUGAUGGAGGGGGAUAACUACUGGAAACGGUAGCUAAUACCGCAUACCAUCAGAUGUGCCCAGAUGGGAUUAGCUAGUUGGUGGGGUAACGGCUCACCAAGGCGACGAUCCCUAGAUGGUCUGAGAGGAUGACCAGCCACACUGGAAGGGAGAAACGGUCCAGCCGCCUACGGGAGGCAGCAGUGGGGAAUUUUGGACAAUGGGCGCAAGCCGGAUGCAGCCAUGCCGCGUGUAUGAAGAAGGCCUUCGGGUUGUAAAGUACUUUCAGCGGGGAGGCGGUACCCGAAGAAGAAGCACCGGCUAACUCCGUGCCAGCCGCCGCGGUAAUAC